rnacentral:rRNA from 1 species
AUUGAACGCUGGCGGCAUGCUUUACACAUGCAAGUCGAACGGUAACAGGGAGCUUGCUCCGCUGACGAGUGGCGAACGGGCGAGUAAUGCGUCGGAACGUGCCGAGUAGUGGGGGAUAACGCAGCGAAAGUUGUGCUAAUACCGCAUACGUACUGAGGUAGAAAGUGAGGGACCUUCGGGCCUCACGCUAUUCGAGCGGCCGACGUCUGAUUAGCUAGUAGGGGAGGUAAAGGCUCACCUAGGCGACGAUCAGUAGCGGGUCUGAGAGGAUGAUCCGCCACACUGGGACUGAGACACGGCCCAGACUCCUACGGGAGGCAGCAGUGGGGAAUUUUGGACAAUGGGCGAAAGCCUGAUCCAGCCAUGCCGCGUGUCUGAAGAAGGCCUUCGGGUUGUAAAGGACUUUUGUCGGGGAGGAAAUCCCCAGCGCUAAUACCGCUGGGGGAUGACAGUACCUGAAGAAUAAGCACCGGCUAACUACGUGCCAGCAGCCGCCGUAAGAC